GAAGAGAAUCAACCCUGAAGUCUGGCAUUGGGAAGAAUAAUUUGGAAGGGCAAAAAAUGCCUGCCUAGUUCAAAGCAGGCUAAAAGAACCCACCACUUUUCCUUAUCAAAGGCAAUAUCCCUUAAGGCCUGAAGCCCAUAGUAGCAGCCAAGUCUAGGCAUAGAAUAUCACAGUAUGUAGUAGCUAAUGUUGAACAUAGUACUACAGAGGAGAGAUUUCCUUUUAUGCUUCCUACCCUCCUUCACUAUCAUACAUAUACAUGCUAACACGUA
rnacentral:lncRNA from 1 species